AGAACGAACGCUGGCGGCAGGCUUAACACAUGCAAGUCGAGCGCCUCGCAAGAGGAGCGGCAGACGGGUGAGUAACGCGUGGGAACGUGCCCAAAGGUACGGAACAACUCCGGGAAACUGGAGCUGAUACCGUAUGUGCCCGAAAGGGGAAAGAUUUAUCGCCUUUGGAUCGGCCCGCGUCUGAUUAGCUAGUUGGUAGGGUAACGGCCUACCAAGGCGACGAUCAGUAGCUGGUCUGAGAGGAUGACCAGCCACACUGGGACUGAGACACGGCCCAGACUCCUACGGGAGGCAGCAGUGGGGAAUAUUGGACAAUGGGCGCAAGCCUGAUCCAGCCAUGCCGCGUGAGUGAUGAAGGCCUUAGGGUUGUAAAGCUCUUUCGCCAGGGACGAUAAUGACGGUACCUGGAUAAGAAGCCCCGGCUAACUUCGCGCCAGCAGCCGC
rnacentral:rRNA from 1 species